rnacentral:lncRNA from 1 species
UAGUUCUUUUCAUUCAGUUCUAAAGGGAGCUGAAUCCUUGUUACAAGUAAUCGAUUAAUUGAGUAUUAUUAUUUAUUCCUUCUUGUGUGAAAUUUCUUCUGCUAAUCUAUUUUCAUUGAUUGCAUGUUAAUUGAUCUAAUUGAUUUAAUAUGGCUAAUUGAGUUAAUUUGAUCAUUAUCAUCUGCUAGAUUAAGAUUAGUAUUAUGUGUAAUUGAUAUUUGUCUUCAACACAAGUAGCAACUUGGUAAUAAUAAUUGUGGACAAGCUUUUGUUUAUUGCUAAGAUUAUCAGAAAAUAAGUUAAACAAAUCGAGCUUAUGUGUUUGUUGCUUGGAUUAGCCUAAUUUUCUAUUUCUUAAUGCUUCUAUCAUAUUAAAUCUAGAGAGCUUGUUCUAGGUUGUAUGCUAGUUAGAAUCUGGUGAAGAGCUUGUUUCAUACAGUGAUAAUCUAAGGAGAAUUUCAGAUAUCAGAGCUUAUUGUUAUCUAGGGCUAAUAAUUUCAUUGAAGGGAAAAUAAUAAUUACUUGAUUAAUUGAUUGUUGUACUUGGUGAAACUGAACUGCAGAACUGAAGUUUUUACAUAUUUGGUUAAUUUCAUCUUUAAUUCUUGUUCUCUUAGUUUAAAAAAAAUUUUCAAAAACCCCCCAUCUUAAUUUUUUAUUGAAAUAGUAGAAUAAUUCUAAAACAACUUUACUCUUUGUGGGAUCGAUCCUUACUUGCUAAUGUGCUAAUUAUUAUAAAUUGUGAAGUGAAAGUGAGGUUAAUUUAGGAGUGUCAACGGCAGCUCCCAAAUUUUGGCACUGUUACCGGGGAGUAAUUUGGCGUUUUCUUUUUAUUCUAUUAUUUGUUUUGUUCUUGUUUUAUGACUCAAUCUUCUCAGGCUACUAUAUUAGAUUUUGAUCCAGAGAUUGAGAAAACUGCAAGGAGGCUAAAGAAGGAAAAACUUAAACUUCAACAGUCUUCUGCAGAUAUAGACGAGGCUUCUGCAUCUUCUAUGGCGACCCCAAAUCCGGGUACUUGAAACCCGAACUCGGUUCUCCACGAUACCAUUU